UACGUAGGGGGCAAGCGUUGUCCGGAUUUAUUGGGCGUAAAGAGCGUGUAGGCGGCCUUACAGGUCAGCUGUGAAAACUCGAGGCUCAACCUCGAGACGUCGGUUGAAACCGUAAGGCUAGAGUCCGGAAGAGGAGAGUGGAAUUCCCGGUGUAGCGGUGAAAUGCGCAGAUAUCGGGAAGAACACCCGUGGCGAAGGCGGCUCUCUGGGGCGGUACUGACGCUGAGACGCGAAAGCGUGGGGAGCGAACAGG
rnacentral:rRNA from 1 species